rnacentral:lncRNA from 1 species
AUUCCUUUACCCUGCUUGGUCAUAGCACGGUAGUGGGAGCUGCCAGUUUCACAUGUUUUAACUCUGUCAGAGCACUUUGAAAAAGUGGUCUGUGGUAUCUGGCUCUCGAGAUUCGGAGAACGAUGCCUCUUCGAUUUUUGAGAAAGCAAUCAUGCUGGGGGUUUGGCUCUCGAGAUUCGGAGAGCAGUGUCUCUUCGAUUUUUGAGGAAGUAAUCAUGUUGGGAGUCUGGCUCUCGAGAUUCGGAGGGCGGUGCCUCUUCGAUUUUGGAGCAAGCAAUCCUGUUGGGAGUGUUGUCUCGAAUGUGAGUAAAGGUUGGGCAUGUUUGCUAGUCUACCUUGCCACGAAGCACAAAGGUUGACACCCAGGGACUUUCCAAUUAUCCAGCAAUGGUACUGUUCCUUUACCCUCUCUUCGCUUUUGAGAAAGUAGUCAUGUUGGGAGUCUGGCUCUCGAGAUUCGGAGGACGGUGCCUCUUCGAUUUUGGAGCAAGCAAUCUUGUUGGGAGUGUUUUCUCGAAUGUGAGUAAAGGUUGGGCAUGUU